CCGAGCGCUGCCUCCGGGCAACCUCCCACCCCUGAUUACCGUACCACUGUUGCUUUGGCAGGCCCGCCCCCCGGGGGCCGCCGGCGGUAAGCUGGCCUGUGCCUGCCAGAGGACCACAAAACCCGAGUCUGCGUGUUGUCUGAGCGUCACAUAAGAAUAAGUUA
rnacentral:misc_RNA from 1 species